rnacentral:rRNA from 1 species
GUGGAUUAGAUACCCUGGUAGUCCACGCCGUAAACGAUGGGCACUAGGUGUCGCGGGUAUUGACCCCUGCGGUGCCGUAGCUAACGCAUUAAGUGCCCCGCCUGGGGAGUACGGCCGCAAGGCUAAAACUCAAAGGAAUUGACGGGGGCCCGCACAAGCGGUGGAGCAUGUGGUUUAAUUCGACGCAACGCGAAGAACCUUACCUGGGUUUGACAUCCCGAUCGUACUCCAUGGAAACAUGGGGGUCAGUUCGGCUGGAUCGGUGACAGGUGCUGCACGGCUGUCGUCAGCU